UCGACGUCGCCCGAUGAGGAGGAGGAGGAGAACUCGCCGAUCGAGCAGGUGGCGCUGACGGUGCCCGUGGGCGACGACCCGGACACGCCCGUGCUCACCUUCAGGAUGUGGGUCCUCGGCAUGGCGUCCUGCGCCGUGCUCUCCUUCCUCAACCAGUUCUUCUGGUACCGCAAGGAGCCGCUCACCAUCACCGCCAUCUCGACCCAGAUCGCCGUGGUGCCGCUCGGCCGCCUCAUGGCCGCGGCGCUCCCCGAGCGCGCCUUCUUCCGCGGCAGGCCGUACGAGUUCACCCUCAACCCGGGGCCGUUCAACGUGAAGGAGCACGUGCUCAUCACCAUCUUCGCCAACGCCGGCGCCGGCACCGUCUACGCCAUCUACGUCGUCACCGCCGUCCGCGUCUUCUACGGCAAGAACCUCACCUUCUUUGUCUCGCUCCUCGUGGUGCUCACCACCCAGGUGCUCGGGUUCGGGUGGGCGGGGAUGUUCCGGCGGUACCUGGUGGAGCCGGCGGCCAUGUGGUGGCCGUCCAACCUCGUGCAGGUCUCACUCUUCAGGGCGCUCCACGAGAAGGAGGUGCGGAGCAAAGGCGGCUUCACGCGCAGCCAGUUCUUCCUGGUGGCCUUUGUCUGCAGCUUCGUCUACUACAUCUUCCCCGGCUACCUGUUCCAGAUGCUCACCUCCCUCUCCUGGAUCUGCUGGGUCUUCCCCAACUCCGUGUUGGCCCAGCAGCUCGGCUCGGGCCUCCACGGCCUCGGCAUCGGCUCCAUCGGCCUCGACUGGGCCUCUGUCUCCUCUUACCUCGGGAGCCCCCUCGCCAGCCCCUGGUUCGCCACCGCCAACGUCGCCGCAGGAUUCUUCAUCAUCAUGUACGUGAUCAUGCCCAUCGCGUACUGGUUCAACUUGUACAAGGCUCGGAACUUUCCCAUCUUCUCUCAUGGGCUCUUCACUGAGUCCGGGCACAAGUACAACAUCAGGAGCAUCGUGGACUCCCAGUUCCAUUUUGACACCAAGGCCUACGAGAAGAAUGGUCCUCUGUACCUCAGCACUUUCUUUGCUGUCACGUAUGGUGUCCGUUUUGCAUCCCUUACCGCAACGAUCGUCCAUGUCCUCCUCUUCCAUGGAAGUGAAAUUUGGCAGUUAAGUAAAUCGGCUUUCCAAGAGAAGAGGGUGGAUGUACACACAAAGCUUAUGAGGAGAUAUAAGCAGGUCCCUGAGUGGUGGUUCAUGUGCAUGCUUAUUGUUAACAUUGCCGUCACCGUAUUUGCUUGUGAAUACCACAUCGAGCAACUCCAGCUGCCCUGGUGGGGUGUGCCACUUGCAUGUGCCAUAGCCUUUUUCUUUACCCUCCCAGCUGGAAUUAUCACAGCAACUACGAACCAGACUCCAGGAUUGAACAUCAUCACAGAGUACAUCAUGGGGUACUUGUACCCUGGACGACCGGUGGCAAAUAUGUGCUUCAAGGUAUAUGGCUACAUCAGCAUGAGCCAAGCUCUGACGUUUCUGCAAGAUUUUAAGUUGGGCCACUACAUGAAGAUUCCCCCAAGGACCAUGUUCAUGGCUCAGGUGGUGGGAACUCUGAUUGCGGCAUUUGUGUACCUUGGAACAGCAUGGUGGCUCCUGGACUCAAUCCCCAACAUCUGCGACACCGAGCUCCUCCCAGCAGGCAGCCCUUGGACCUGCCCUGCCGAUCAUGUGUUCUACGACGCAUCAGUCAUAUGGGGUCUUAUUAGCCCACGCAGAAUAUUCGGGGACUUAGGAACUUACUCGGCGGUGAACUGGUUCUUCUUGGGGGGAGCCAUUGCCCCACUCCUCGUCUGGUUUGCACACAAGGCAUUCCCAGGCCAGAACUGGAUCUUGCUCAUCAACAUGCCCGUGUUGAUUGGUUCCACCGGCCAGAUGCCACCCGCCACUGCAGUCAACUACAUCACAUGGAUAUUUGUUGGGUUUUUGUCAGGCUAUGUGGUCUAUAGAUACCGACGUGACUGGUGGGAGCGACACAAUUAUCUGCUUUCAGGUGCACUAGAUGCUGGUUUGGCAUUCAUGGCCGUGUUAAUUUACCUGUGCCUAGGCUUGGAGAACGUCAGUUUGAACUGGUGGGGCAAUGACUUGGAUGGAUGUCCCCUGGCUUCUUGCCCCACUGCUAAAGGUAUAUUUGUUGAGGGGUGCCCAGCAGUGUAUACGUGA
rnacentral:rRNA from 1 species